UAAGGAAUAUUGGUCAAUGGACGCAAGUCUGAACCAGCCAUGCCGCGUGAAGGAAGAAGGCCCUAGUGGUCGUAAACUUCUUUUAUAUGGGAAAAAUUCCCGGGUCUUGAACCCGGGUUGAUGGUACUGUAUGAAUAAGCAACGGCUAACUCCGUGCCAGCAGCCGCGGUAAUACGGAGGUUGCAAGCGUUAUCCGGAUUUAUUGGGUUUAAAGGGUGCGUAGGCGGACCGAUAAGUCAGCGGUGAAAUCCAACAGCUUAACUGUAGAAUUGCCAUUGAUACUGCCGGUCUUGAGUGCAGCUGAAGAGGGCGGAAUGUGUUGUGUAGCGGUGAAAUGCUUAGAUAUAACACAGAACACCGAUUGCGAAGGCAGCUCUCUAAACUGCAACUGACGCUGAGGCACGAAAGCGUGGGGAUCAAACAGG
rnacentral:rRNA from 1 species